GAUGAACGCUGGCGGCGUGCCUAAUACAUGCAAGUCGAGCGAACAGACGAGGAGCUUGCUCCUCUGACGUUAGCGGCGGACGGGUGAGUAACACGUGGAUAACCUACCUAUAAGACUGGGAUAACUUCGGGAAACCGGAGCUAAUACCGGAUAAUAUAUUGAACCGCAUGGUUCAAUAGUGAAAGACGGUUUUGCUGUCACUUAUAGAUGGAUCCGCGCCGCAUUAGCUAGUUGGUAAGGUAACGGCUUACCAAGGCGACGAUGCGUAGCCGACCUGAGAGGGUGAUCGGCCACACUGGAACUGAGACACGGUCCAGACUCCUACGAGAGGCAGCAGUAGGGAAUCUUCCGCAAUGGGCCAAAGCCUGACGGAGCAACGCCGCGUGAGUGAUGAAGGUCUUCGGAUCGUAAAACUCUGUUAUUAGGGAAGAACAAAUGUGUAAGUAACUAUGCACGUCUUGACGGUACCUAAUCAGAAAGCCACGGCUAACUACGUG
rnacentral:rRNA from 1 species